rfam:Myotis davidii contig70255, whole genome shotgun sequence.
GGCGGUUCUCAAAUGACACACCCUGGAAUCGGGCUCCCUCCUCUCUGGUUCUGGUAUGUCACCUGAGAACUGCA